AGUGUAGGAGUGAAAUCCGUAGAUAUUGGGAGGAACACCAAUGGCGUAAGCAGGGUACUGGCUCGUUCCUGACACUCAGGCACGAAAGCGUGGGGAGCAAACGGGAUUAGAUACCCCGGUAGUCCACGCCGUAAACUAUGGAUGCUAGCUGUUAGAAGAAUCGACCCUUCUAGUAGUGAAGCUAACGCGUUAAGCAUCCCGCCUGUGGAGUACGGUCGCAAGACUAAAACAUAAAGGAAUUGACGGGAACCCGCACAAGCGGUGGAGCGUGUUGUUUAAUUCGAUGGUAAGCGAAGAACCUUACCCAGGCUUGACAUCCCUGGAAUUUCUCCGAAAGGAGAGAGUGCCUUUACAGGAAUCAGGUGACAGGUGAUGCAUGGCCGUCGUCAGCUCGUGUCGUGAGAUGUAGGGUUAAGUCCCUCAACGAGCGCAACCCCUAUAGUUAGUUGAAUUUCUCUAGCUAGACUGCCCUGGUAACAGGGAGGAAGGAGGGGAUGAUGUCAGGUCAGUAUUUCCCUUACGUCUGGGGCUACAAACACGCUACAAUGGCCGGUACAAAGGGCUGCCAAGUCGCAAGACGGAGCAAAUCCCAUCAAAACCGGUCCCAAUUCGGAUUGCAGGCUGAAACUCGCCUGCAUGAAGCUGGAAUCGCUAGUAAUGGUAGGUCAGCACACUACCGUGAAUACGUCCCCGGGUUUUGUACACACCGCCCGUCAAACCAUGAAAGUCACCAAUACCUGACGUCCGGACUAGCUUCGGCCUAAGGUAGGGGUGAUGAUUGGGGUUAAGUCGUAACAAGGUACCAAUCCCGCG
rnacentral:rRNA from 1 species